rnacentral:rRNA from 1 species
ACUUUUUUUCAAGUAGGUUAAAUCGUUUUCAAGUAAUUUAAGCUUUUUUCAAGUAUCUUCAACUUUUUUUCAAGUACACAAAAAUCUUUUUUAAGUACCUUGAAUUUUUCUUCAAGUAUUUAUUUUUUUUCAAGUAGGUAAAAGUUCUGUAUACAAGUAAUUUAAAGUCUUUUCAAGUAAGUAUAAGUUUUUUCAAGUAGAUAGAUUUUUUUCAAGUAUCUUAAAAAAUUUUUUUAGCAGAUGGCCGCGGAUCUACCCGGCCGGGUAAAUGCCUGCGGUGUCCGCGGUCAAUUGUUUUACGUGUAAUUGACCGCGGGCACCGCGGUUUAUCCUUUGGGGCAAACAUUGCCCGUGACGAUAAACAACGCAAGUCGCUCGUCCCACGACCCGAGCGCAGUUUCCCUAGGGGACUGCCCGGCCGGGUCGUCGUGCCCUCGGUGUCGAACAGAAAGACAAAAAUAAAUGAGAUACAAAGAAUGAACAAAAGACAUCGAUACCAAACGGGACAAACAGCAACAGACCCACGGGGAACACAUGGUAACCGCGGUCUAGUACUUCAGGGACUUCAAAAACUACAACAGGAACUACUCCUAACGAAGUCCUCUUACCGUUAGAAGGAGACGUAGUGAAAGUAAGAGUGGUGAUGACGUUAGGUCUACAGGUCUUAGUUGGUCUUCGAUUGUACUUCUGACUAAUUUCCUUCUCCACCACCCCUAGUAGAAAAUGGAACGUUUAAGUACUUCGUCCAAGAAGAGGUCCCGCAAACCACCUCUUCCUGAAACGUUCCUUCUUUAAAUCGUGUUCUAGAUAUCUCUCAAGUUUUCUCUAUUUGUGUAGAGUCCAAACAAAGCCGCAGGUACCGCCGCCGACUCAGAAACGCCACAGCCCCUACUUUCACCUCCUUCUUCUGGAUCACCGAGACGCGCAAUCCACCUAAGACAUAUCACCCAAACAGAGAAUCGCCCAAGUCCGGGCAAAAUCAAAAACCGACUACUGACUUCCGUCUUUAUAUUUCAGUCUUGAGAAAAAAGUCGGGCAAACUGACGACCGGAAAAAGCUGACUGGUGUUGAAACCCAGUCAAUUAAACAAGACUUAUCAAUACAAAGGAAUGGAAGAUGUUUAGUUGACUGGGGAAAGAACUCAGUCAGCUAACUAGACAUCGGCGAGGGUAUAUUUUAUGGCAUCUUGUUAGCCGAUUUUUUUUUUG